AGCUUAUCGGUGAUGUCUCAAAAUAAAUGUCUGAACAAAUGAUAUCUCAGUGAUUUCAGUGUUUUACUGAGAUAAGCU